rnacentral:rRNA from 1 species
AUUGAACGCUGGCGGCAGGCCUAACACAUGCAAGUCGAACGGUAACAGGAAGAAGCUUGCUUCUUUGCUGACGAGUGGCGGACGGGUGAGUAAUGUCUGGGAAACUGCCUGAUGGAGGGGGAUAACUACUGGAAACGGUAGCUAAUACCGCAUAACGUCGCAAGACCAAAGAGGGGGACCUCCGGGCCUCUUGCCAUCGGAUGUGCCCAGAUGGGAUUAGCUAGUAGGUGGGGUAACGGCUCACCUAGGCGACGAUUCCUAGCUGGUCUGAGAGGAUGACCAGCCACAGUGGGACGGAGACACGACCCGUCCCCCUACGGGGGGCAGCAGGGGGAAAUAUUCAAAAAGGGGGGAAGGCUUGAUGCGGCCAUCCCGGGGGGAGGAGGAAGGCCUUCGGUUUGUAAAGUCCUUUCAGGGGGGAGGAAGGGAGUAAAUUUAACCCCUUUGCUAAUUGACCUACCCCGAAAAAAAACCCCCGGCUAACCCCGUC